rnacentral:rRNA from 1 species
GAAUCUUUCGGGAUUUAGUGGCGGACGGGUGAGUAACGCGUGAGAAUCUGCCUUCAGGUUCGGGACAACAGCUGGAAACGGCUGCUAAUACCGGAUGUGCCGAGAGGUGAAAGCUUUAGUGCCUGGAGAUGAGCUCGCGUCUGAUUAGCUAGUAGGAGUGGUAACGGCACCCCUAGGCGACGAUCAGUAGCUGGUCUGAGAGGAUGAUCAGCCACACUGGGACUGAGACACGGCCCAGACUCCUACGGGAGGCAGCAGUGGGGAAUUUUCCGCAAUGGGCGCAAGCCUGACGGAGCAAGACCGCGUGAGGGAAGAAGGUCUGUGGAUUGUAAACCUCUUUUGAUAGGGAAGAAGAUAGUGACGGUACCUAUCGAAUCAGCCUCGGCUAACUCCGUGCCAGCAGCCGCGGUAAUACGGAGGAGGCAAGCGUUAUCCGGAAUUAUUGGGCGUAAAGAGUCCGUAGGUGGGUGACCAAGUCAGUUGUUAAAUAGUGAAGCUUAACUUCAUAGAGGCGACUGAAACUGGUCGUCUAGAGUGUGGUAGGGGUAGAGGGAAUUUCCAGUGUAGCGGUGAAAUGCGUAGAUAUUGGAAAGAACACCGGUGGCGAAAGCGCUCUACUGGGCCUGCACUGACACUGAGGGACGAAAGCUAGGGGAGCGAAAGGGAUUAGAUACCCCUGUAGUCCUAGCCGUAAACGAUGGAUACUAGGCGUUGCCCGUAUCGACCCGAGCCGUGCCGAAGC